rnacentral:rRNA from 1 species
GACGAACGCUGGCGGCGUGCUUAACACAUGCAAGUCGAACGGAAAGGCCCUGCUUUUGUGGGGUGCUCGAGUGGCGAACGGGUGAGUAACACGUGAGUAACCUGCCCUUGACUUUGGGAUAACUUCAGGAAACUGGGGCUAAUACCGGAUAGGAGCUCCUGCUGCAUGGUGGGGGUUGGAAAGUUUCGGCGGUUGGGGAUGGACUCGCGGCUUAUCAGCUUGUUGGUGGGGUAGUGGCUGACCAAGGCUUUGACGGGUAGCCGGCCUGAGAGGGUGACCGGCGACAAUGGGACUGAGGGACGGCCCAGAAUCGUACGGGAGGCAGUAGGGGGGAAUAUGGCACAAUGGGCGGAAGCCUGAUGCAGCAACGCCGCGUGCGGGAUGAUGGCCUUCGGGUUGUAAACCGCUUUCGCCGGUGACGAAGCGUGAGUGACGGUAAUGGGUAAAGAAGCACCGGCUAACUACGUG